AGCGCAUACGGUGGAUGCCUUGGCAGUCAGAGGCGAUGAAAGACGUGGUAGCCUGCGAUAAGCUUUGGGGAGUCGGCAAACAGACUGUGAUCCAGAGAUCUCUGAAUGGGGGAACCCAGCCAGCAUAAGCUGGUUAUCUUGUACUGAAUACAUAGGUGCAAGAGGCGAACCAGGGGAACUGAAACAUCUAAGUACCCUGAGGAAAAGAAAUCAACCGAGAUUCCCUUAGUAGUGGCGAGCGAACGGGGACCAGCCCUUAAGUUGGUUUGAGAUUAGUGGAACGCUCUGGAAAGUGCGGCCAUAGUGGGUGAUAGCCCCGUACACGAAAAUCUCUUAUCAAUGAAAUCGAGUAGGACGGAGCACGAGAAACUUUGUCUGAAUAUGGGGGGACCAUCCUCCAAGGCUAAAUACUACUGACUGACCGAUAGUGAACCAGUACCGUGAGGGAAAGGCGAAAAGAACCCCGGAGAGGGGAGUGAAAUAGAACCUGAAACCGUAUGCGUACAAGCAGUGGGAGCCUACUUUGUUAGGUGACUGCGUACCUUUUGUAUAAUGGGUCAGCGACUUAUAUUCAGUGGCGAGCUUAACCGAAUAGGGGAGGCGUAGCGAAAGCGAGUCUUAAUAGGGCGUUUAGUCGCUGGGUAUAGACCCGAAACCGGGCGAUCUAUCCAUGGGCAGGUUGAAGGUUAGGUAACACUGACUGGAGGACCGAACCGACUACCGUUGAAAAGUUAGCGGAUGACCUGUGGAUCGGAGUGAAAGGCUAAUCAAGCUCGGAGAUAGCUGGUUCUCCUCGAAAGCUAUUUAGGUAGCGCCUCAUGUAUCACUGUAGGGGGUAGAGCACUGUUUCGGCUAGGGGGUCAUCCCGACUUACCAAACCGAUGCAAACUCCGAAUACCUACAAGUGCCGAGCAUGGGAGACACACGGCGGGUGCUAACGUCCGUCGUGAAAAGGGAAACAACCCAGACCGUCAGCUAAGGUCCCAAAGUCAUGGUUAAGUGGGAAACGAUGUGGGAAGGCUUAGACAGCUAGGAGGUUGGCUUAGAAGCAGCCACCCUUUAAAGAAAGCGUAAUAGCUCACUAGUCGAGUCGGCCUGCGCGGAAGAUGUAACGGGGCUCAAACCAUGCACCGAAGCUACGGGUAUCAUCUUACGAUGAUGCGGUAGAGGAGCGUUCUGUAAGCCUGUGAAGGUGAGUUGAGAAGCUUGCUGGAGGUAUCAGAAGUGCGAAUGCUGACAUGAGUAACGACAAUGCGAGUGAAAAACUCGCACGCCGAAAGACCAAGGUUUCCUGCGCAACGUUAAUCGACGCAGGGUUAGUCGGUCCCUAAGGCGAGGCUGAAAAGCGUAGUCGAUGGAAAACAGGUUAAUAUUCCUGUACUUCCAGUUAUUGCGAUGGAGGGACGGAGAAGGUUAGGCCAGCCUGGCGUUGGUUGUCCAGGUUUAAGGUGGUAGGCUGAAAUCUUAGGCAAAUCCGGGAUUUCAAGGCCGAGAGCUGAUGACGAGUUGCCUUUAGGCGACGAAGUGGUUGAUACCAUGCUUCCAAGAAAAGCUCCUAAGCUUCAGAUAACUGGGAACCGUACCCCAAACCGACACAGGUGGUUAGGUAGAGAAUACCAAGGCGCUUGAGAGAACUCGGGUGAAGGAACUAGGCAAAAUGGCACCGUAACUUCGGGAGAAGGUGCGCCGGCGAGGGUUAAGGACUUGCUCCGUAAGCCCAUGCCGGUCGAAGAUACCAGGCCGCUGCGACUGUUUAUUAAAAACACAGCACUCUGCAAACACGAAAGUGGACGUAUAGGGUGUGACGCCUGCCCGGUGCCGGAAGGUUAAUUGAUGGGGUUAGCGCAAGCGAAGCUCUUGAUCGAAGCCCCGGUAAACGGCGGCCGUAACUAUAACGGUCCUAAGGUAGCGAAAUUCCUUGUCGGGUAAGUUCCGACCUGCACGAAUGGCGUAACGAUGGCGGCGCUGUCUCCACCCGAGACUCAGUGAAAUUGAAAUCGCUGUGAAGAUGCAGUGUAUCCGCGGCUAGACGGAAAGACCCCGUGAACCUUUACUAUAGCUUUGCACUGGACUUUGAAUUUGCUUGUGUAGGAUAGGUGGGAGGCUUUGAAGUGGGGACGCCAGUUCUCAUGGAGCCAUCCUUGAAAUACCACCCUGGCAACUUUGAGGUUCUAACUCAGGUCCGUUAUCCGGAUCGAGGACAGUGUAUGGUGGGUAGUUUGACUGGGGCGGUCUCCUCCCAAAGAGUAACGGAGGAGUACGAAGGUGCGCUCAGACCGGUCGGAAAUCGGUCGUAGAGUAUAAAGGCAAAAGCGCGCUUGACUGCGAGACAAACACGUCGAGCAGGUACGAAAGUAGGUCUUAGUGAUCCGGUGGUUCUGUAUGGAAGGGCCAUCGCUCAACGGAUAAAAGGUACUCCGGGGAUAACAGGCUGAUACCGCCCAAGAGUUCAUAUCGACGGCGGUGUUUGGCACCUCGAUGUCGGCUCAUCACAUCCUGGGGCUGAAGCCGGUCCCAAGGGUAUGGCUGUUCGCCAUUUAAAGUGGUACGCGAGCUGGGUUUAGAACGUCGUGAGACAGUUCGGUCCCUAUCUGCCGUGGACGUUUGAGAUUUGAGAGGGGCUGCUCCUAGUACGAGAGGACCGGAGUGGACGAACCUCUGGUGUUCCGGUUGUCACGCCAGUGGCAUUGCCGGGUAGCUAUGUUCGGAAGAGAUAACCGCUGAAAGCAUCUAAGCGGGAAACUUGCCUCAAGAUGAGAUCUCACUGGGAUCUUGA
rnacentral:rRNA from 1 species